rnacentral:rRNA from 1 species
UAGGGAAUAUUGGACAAUGGGUGAGAGCCUGAUCCAGCCAUGCCGCGUGCAGGAAGAAGGCGUUAUGCGUUGUAAACUGCUUUUGCCAGGGGAUAAAAAGACCGUGCGCGGUUAAUUGAAGGUACCUGGUGAAUAAGCCACGGCUAACUACGUGCCAGCAGCCGCGGUAAUACGUAGGUGGCAAGCGUUGUCCGGAUUUAUUGGGUUUAAAGGGUGCGUAGGUGGCCCUGUAAGUCAGUGGUGAAAUAUCUCAGCUUAACUGAGAGGGUGCCAUUGAUACUGCAGGGCUUGAGUACAGAUGAGGUAGGCGGAAUUGACGGUGUAGCGGUGAAAUGCAUAGAUAUCGUCAAGAACACCGAUAGCGAAGGCAGCUUACCAAGCUGUAACUGACACUGAGGCACGAAAGUGUGGGGAUCAAACAGGAUUAGAUACCCCAGUAGUCCCUGAGCGGGCUGGCAAGGCG